GAUAACUACCGUAGAAUUCAUAUUUUCAUAAAAUGUCUCAACAAAAUUUUUCACUUCUUUGUAAAUAUAAAAUGUUCUUAAUAGUACAAUCUUCCUAUUUUCAAUAAUUAUAAACACUUAACAUAACUUUAUUCCUAAACGGGAAAACCCAAAAACCCCCGAUUCACGUUAUUCAUGACUCACAAGACCCAGAAACUUUUACACAACAACUUUCAGCCAGCAUCAGUACCAGGAUAUCGCAACAAACGUGGGAAUACUAGGAAAAAAUUUAUAUUAAAAAUUCAACGAUUACUCCGAGGUAGAAAAUCGCCCCGAAGCAACAGCAUCAUUACGGUUUCUUGGAAAUCAUGUCGUCUCCCAGGCAGACACAUAGAGGUUAUUGAGUCAUCUCUCCAUUACAGAUUUUUAAAAUUGUAUUAUAUUGAAGCUAAUGCAGCGUAAACUGGAGCACGCGGUUAUUUUGGAGAAAGAAAGAAAUAAA